GGGCUGGCAGUGGGCAGGCUGGUUGCUGGGCUGUCUGGGUCCCCCCCUUGGGUCACGGGCAGGUGGGGGCUGGCAGUGGGCAGGCUGGUUGCUGGGCUGUCUGUGCCCCCCCCUUAGGUCACGGGCAGGUGCGGGCUGGCAGUGGGCAGGCUGGUUGCUGGGCUGUCUGUGCCCCCCCCUUAGGUCACGGGCAGGUGGGGGCUGGCAGUUGGCAGGCUGGUUG